UUAUAGCAAGCUGCGCGUCGUGAUCUAGAAAGAACUGUAUCAGUGUCAGUGCAUCUUCCAACUAAUGAUAAAGAAGUUACUUUGUCACGUUGGUCAGAGAAACUCUUGUUUUAUGACAAUUGACGGAAAUAUAUUUGUAUUGUUAAAUGUGAAAAGACGAGAAGAUAUAUACCUAAUUACAAACAAGUUUAACAAAAAAGAUUUUUAUACAUAUCCUUUCCCUUCAUCUUUUGUUCGUAUUUUUAAAGUGUCAAAUUUGGGUGACCAAAGAAUUGUACUGCCAUUGACAAAUAUUCAAUCAAAAUUUUGUCGUUUUAAAAUUUUUACCUGACGAUCUCAACAAUGAUAAUAUUUGCUACGAUAUCGGCCUUACAAAGUGGUUGAUUGAAGUGAAUGAAAAUAUGGAAGGUGAGACAUAUUGGCCACCGCGUAAUGUUGAAGCUGGAAGCUUGGUCCGUAAAGAAGUAAAUGCAGACGAAACUUGGCCCAAAUAUCGUGUACAUGUUAAAAGAUAUCACGAUUUGAAUAAUCAGUUAUCUAAGAUAGACAGGAAAUUGGAGGACUUAAGUUGCAAAAUAAAUACAGUUAUAACGAAUCAAGGAAAACUAUACAAAUGUUUGCUUCCUCAGGAAAAGAAAAUACUGGAACCACAUAACAUGCCUUCUUUGCCUUUUUGUAACAAAUUUUAGUGUGAUUAUCUUACCUCUUUUGGAUCUGCUAGUGAUGAAAGAAAAACUGCUACCAUAAUUUUGCAAAAACUUAUGUAUAAUUCUUUGGCCAAAAAUUAUAAUUUUGAUGGCCAUGGUGAGAAAAGAGGCUUAAAAACACUGAAACUGUGGACAGUUAUUGAAGGGGCUUUGUCACUUAAAUUUCCGGACAGCGACCUUGAUACAGCACUUAAAACCAUAAAGUCAUGGCUACAAAAUGCUAGCGGUAGGAAACAAGAGGAAUAUAUUGGUUCUGAUAGCCAUUAGAAAAACAUUUCUUGCUUUUGUUACGGAGAUCUCAGAGAGUCGGCGAGUCUCGAAGGCGAAACUUCUGCGCGAAGUGGUGGAAGAAAUCAACCGUGAUCCGCAACACCUUAUGCUGACGACGGAUUAUAUUCUCAUUGUAUAUUCGCCGUUCCCUUCGAUCAUACCUGUGACAGGAUUGCUAAACCACUCUUUAAAUUCGCGAUGAGACUGGAAAACGUUAGGCAUAAGAAAGUGCAUAAGCGACCACAGUUCGGUUAAAUUAUUUUGAAGAGGUGUGCCGGUAAAAAGUAAUCUCCGUUGUGUCUAGAAGUUUAAAAGCAACUGCCAUCUCUGCGAUUUGAAAUUCUUGAUAUUUUGCGCCUUUUUUUUUAUAAAUAUGAUAUGUGCCGAAACUGAAAAUCGCUUUCUUCUUUGCAGUGAAAGCACUCCGUAUCUAUACCGAUAACUAUUUUUAAAAAGCUGUCAGUAACUAUCUCGAAAUUGCAUACUUUUAAGUAGACGUUUGCAGAAAUGUCGAUGAGAAUUACGCGUUACAUGCUCACGAUUAUUAAUAAAAUAACAGCACAAAUACAACAAUA